rnacentral:rRNA from 1 species
CCUACGGGUGGCAGCAGUGAGGAAUAUUGAUCAAUGGACGAGAGUCUGAACCAGCCAAGUAGCGUGAAGGAUGACUGCCCUAUGGGUUGUAAACUUCUUUUAUCAAGGAAUAAAACGAGGCACGUGUGCCUUUUUGCAUGUACUUUAUGAAUAAGGAUCGGCUAACUCCGUGCCAGCAGCCGCGGUAAUACGGCGGAUGCGAGCGUUAUCCGGGUUUAUUGGGUUUAAAGGGAGCGUAGAUGGUUUGUUAAGUCAGUUGUGAAAGUUUGCGGCUCAACCGUAAAAUUGCAAUUGAUACUGGCAGUCUUGAGGACAGUUGAGGUAGGCGGGAUUCGUGGUGUAGCGGUGGAAUGCU